GCAGCAGCCAAGUCCAAUGAACAAUCCCAGAUGUUUGGGCCGAAGUGCACUCAUCACUUAAGUGUUACACUCGUAU